rnacentral:tRNA from 1 species
GCCUCCAUAGCUCAACGGAUAGAGUAGCACUCCUCUAAAGUGAAAGUUCUAGGUUCAAAUCCUAGUGGAGGCG